GGAGGAUUGCUUGAGCCCAGGGGUUUAAGGCUGCAAUGAGCCGUGAUCAUACCACUGCACUCCAGCCUGAGUGACAGAGCAAGACUUUAUCUC
ensembl:miRNA